rnacentral:rRNA from 1 species
UACGGGGGGGGCAAGCGUUGUUCGGAAUUACUGGGCGUAAAGGGUUCGUAGGUGGCCUGCUAAGUCAGACGUGAAAUCCCUCAGCUUAACUGGGGAACUGCGUCUGAGACUGGCGGGCUCGAGUGCAGGAGAGGAACGCGGAAUUCCAGGUGUAGCGGUGAAAUGCGUAGAUAUCUGGAGGAACACCGGUGGCGAAGGCGGCGUUCUGGACUGUUACUGACACUGAGGAACGAAAGCCAGGGGAGCAAACGGG